CGACAUUAAUUAAUCUCUUGUGAGUAUCCCGAGUAAGGCGGGGCACGUGAAACCCUGUCUGAAUCCACCGGGACCAUCCGGCAAGGCUAAAUACUAGUCAGUGACCGAUAGUGAACGAGUACAGUGAUGGAAAGGCGAAAAGAACAGUGAGAAGCUGAGUGAAAUAGACCCUGAAACCGUUAGCUUACAAUCAGUCAGAGCACUAUUAAUAGUGUGAUGGCGUGCCUGUUGAAGAAUGAGCCGGCGAGUUAUCUUAUGUUGCGAGGUUAAGGAGUUAACAUCCGGAGCCAUAGCGAAAGCGAGUUUGAAAAGAGCGUUAAGUAACAUGCGAUAGACCCGAACCUUGGUGAUCUAACCUUGACCAGGAUGAAGCGUGGGUAACACUACGUGGAGGUCCGAACCAACCGAUGUUGAAAAAUCGGUGGAUGAGUUGAGGUUAGGGGUGAAAUGCCAAUCGAACCAAGAGCUAGCUGGUUCUCCCCGAAAUGCGUUUAGGCACAGCGUCAAAUUUAUCUUACAGGAGGUAGAGCACUGGUUUUGUGCGGGCGACGAAAUGUUGUACCAAACAAUGUCAAACUCCGAAUGCCUGUAAUGUCAUUAUUUGGCAGUGAGGCUAUGAGUGAUAAGAUCCAUGGCCAAGAGGGAAACAGCCCAGAACGCCAGUUAAGGUCCCUAAUAUAUGCUAAGUGGUUAAGGAGGUAAAGUUGCUGAGACAACCAGGAGGUUGGCUUAGAAGCAGCCAUUCCUUGAAAGAGUGCGUAAUAGCUCACUGGUCAAGCGACUUCGCGCCGAAAAUACACCGGGACUCAAGCAUAUAACCGAAACUGCGUCAUAUAGUUUACUAUAUGGGUAGGGGAGCGUUCUAUAUUAGGAUGAAGUAAGAUCGAAAGGACUUAUGGACGAGAUAGAAGUGAGAAUGUCGGCAUAAGUAGCGAAAACAUUGGUGAGAAUCCAAUGCACCGAAAACCUAAGGUUUCCCACGGCAGGCUCGUCCGCGUGGGGUUAGUCGGAUCCUAAGCUGAGGCCGAAAGGCGUAGGCGAUGGGCAUCAGGUUGAUAUUCCUGAACUAUCUAAUAAUCGUUAUUAGAAGCGGAGGGACGCAGUAGGAUAUGCAAGCAGCCGAACGGAAGUGGCUGUAAAGAUGUGUAGGUAGAACAGGUAGGAAAAUCCGCUUGUUCGUUAUAAACUGAGGCAUCGAGUAGGACAUUCUACGGAAUGGAAGUUGCAGAUUCCACACUGCCAAGAAAAACUUCGCUAUCGAGACUAUUAGGUAUCCGUACCGUAAACCGCCACAGGUAGGUUGGUAGAAAAUACUAAGGUGCGCGAGAUAACUCUCGCUAAGGAACUCGGCAAAAUCACCUCGUAACUUCGGGAGAAGAGGUACCCUGGUAGAGUGAAGCGGUUUACCCGUGGAGCUUGAUAGGGUCGCAGUGAAUUGGCCCAUGCGACUGUUUACCAAAAACACAGGUCUCUGCUAAGUCGAUCAAGACGAUGUAUAGGGGCUGACGCCUGCCCGGUGUCGGAAGGUUACGCGGACAUGUUAGACAUUAGUCAAAGCAUAGAAGCUAAGCCCCGAUGAACGGCGGCCGUAACUAUAACGGUCCUAAGGUAGCGAAAUUCCUUGUCAGGUAAGUUCUGACCCGCACGAAUGGCGUAACGAUAUGGGCGCUGUCUCGGCGAGAGGCUCGGCGAAAUUGGAUUAUCCGUGAAGAUACGGAUUACGUGUACCAGGACAGAAAGACCCUAUUGAGCUUUACUGUAGCUUGAAAUUGAAUUCGGGUUCUUAUUGUGCAGUAUAGGUGGGAGACUAUGAAACUAGGACGUCAGUUUUAGUGGAGUCAUCGUUGAGAUACCACUCUGUAAUAAUUUGAAUUCUAACCUUGAUCCCUCAAACAACAGGGCAAGGAACAGUUUCUGGUAGGCAGUUUGACUGGGGCGGUCGCCUCCUAAAAUGUAACGGAGGCGUUCAAAGGUUCCCUCAGGUUGGUCGGAAAUCAACCGUUGAGUGUAAUAGCACAAGGGAGCUUGACUGCGAGACCUACAAGUCGAGCAGGUACGAAAGUAGGAUAUAGUGAUCCGGUGGUUCUGUAUGGAAGGGCCAUCGCUCAUCGGAUAAAAGUUACCAUAGGGAUAACAGGCUUAUCUCCCCCAAGAGUCCACAUCGACGGGGAGGUUUGGCACCUCGAUGUCGGCUCGUCGCAUCCUGGAGCGGUAGUACGUUCCAAGGGUUGGGCUGUUCGCCCAUUAAAGCGGCACGCGAGCUGGGUUCAGAACGUCGUGAGACAGUUCGGUCCAUAUCCGGUAUACGCGCAAGAGAUUUGAACGGAGUCUUCCUUAGUACGAGAGGACCGGGAAGAGGGGACCUCCAGUGUACGGGUUAUCGCGCCAGCGGUAAACGCCCG
rnacentral:rRNA from 1 species